rnacentral:rRNA from 1 species
AACGAACGCUGGCGGCAUGCCUAACACAUGCAAGUCGAACGAGACCUUCGGGUCUAGUGGCGCACGGGUGCGUAACGCGUGGGAACCUGCCCUUAGGUUCGGAAUAACUCCCCGAAAGGGGUGCUAAUACCGGAUAAUGUCCUCGGACCAAAGAUUUAUCGCCUUUGGAUGGGCCCGCGUUGGAUUAGCUAGUUGGUAGGGUAAAAGCCUACCAAGGCGACGAUCCAUAGCUGGUCUGAGAGGAUGAUCAGCCACACUGGGACUGAGACACGGCCCAGACUCCUACGGGAGGCAGCAGUGGGGAAUAUUGGACAAUGGGCGAAAGCCUGAUCCAGCAAUGCCGCGUGAGUGGUGAAGGCCUUAGGGUUGUAAAGCUCUUUUACCCGGGAUGAUAAUGACAGUACCGGGAGAAUAAGCUCCGGCUAACUCCGUG